GCGGAUGUAGCCAAGUGGAUUAAGGCAGUGGAUUGUGAAUUCACCACGCGCGGGUUCGAUUCCCGUCGUUCGCC
rnacentral:tRNA from 20 species